UGCAGUCAUGGGUUGUUAUAAGGUGGAGAUAUAGUUCUUAUGUUGCAGUCAUGGGUUGUUUUAAGGUGGAGAUAUGGUUCUUCUGUUGCAGUCAUGGGUUGUUUUAAGGUGGAGAUAUGGUUCUUCUGUUGCAGUCAUGGGUUGUUUUAAGGUGGAGAUAUGGUUCUUCUGUUGCAGUCAUGGGUUGUUUUAAGGUGGAGAUAUGGUUCUUCUGUUGCAGUCAUGUGCAGUGUUCUUGGUUGGUCAUCAAUCGACAAGAUAAUUGAA